rnacentral:rRNA from 1 species
UACACUCCUACGGGAGGCAGCAGUGGGGAAUUUUGGACAAUGGGCGAAAGCCUGAUCCAGCAAUGCCGCGUGAGUGAAGAAGGCCUUCGGGUUGUAAAGCUCUUUUGUCAGGGAAGAAACGGUGAAAGCUAAUAUCUUUUGCUAAUGACGGUACCUGAGGAAUAAGCACCGGCUAACUACGUGCCAGCAGCCGCGGUAAUACGUAGGGUGCAAGCGUUAAUCGGAAUUACUGGGCGUAAAGCGUGCGCAGGCGGUUUUGUAAGUCUGAUGUGAAAUCCCCGGGCUCAACCUGGGAAUUGCAUUGGAGACUGCAAGGCUAGAAUCUGGCAGAGGGGGGUAGAAUUCCACGUGUAGCAGUGAAAUGCGUAGAUAUGUGGAGGAACACCGAUGGCGAAGGCAGCCCCCUGGGUCAAGAUUGACGCUCAUGCACGAAAGCGUGGGGAGCAAACAGGAUUAGAUACCCUGGUAGUCCCAUGA